GGGGAUGUAUUGUUUCGACUGAUAGGCAAGGCCUAUUGGCAGGUAAGGGGGCGCGUCCUUUAUACGCGCAAACGAAUACAUGCAAAUGUAAUCAACAAAGUGAAAGAAUCCUUAGCUUCCGUGGUUAGUGGAUCUUUCGCUCCAGCCUACGCAUACGCGUAAAUAGCUGGUGUCGGUUAUCCUUUCUCCUAGUGAGGGAUAAUUGGCAACAUUUAGCUAGGAUGGGAGCUUAUUCGGCCGGAUAAGAUCUAAGAUAAAGGCCAACCCAACAAAUCUUAGUUGCUGCUUGUAGAUUUGUUGGUAUCAAAGCAGCAAAACCUGUAAUUCCAAGAAGGUUGCGCAAAUCAAGACCUCGGGUCGCGCCCGAGCAUCUCCACCA
rnacentral:tmRNA from 1 species